AUGGAAAAAGCAAGAGAGUUCCAGAAAAACAUCUACUUCUGCUUUAUUGACUAUGCCAACGCCUUUGACUGUGUGGAUCACAAUAAACUGUGGAAAAUUCUGAAAGAGAUCAGAAUACCAGACCACCUGACCUGCCUCUUGAGAAAUCUGUAUGCAGGUCAGGAAGCAACAGUUAGAACUAGACAUGGAACAACAGACUGGUUUCAAAUAGGAAAAGGAGUGCAUCAAGGCUGUAUAUUGUCACCCUGCUUAUUUAACUUCUAUGCAGAGUACAUCACGAGAAAUGCUGGACUGGAAGAAACACAAGCUGGAAUCAGAAUUGCCAGGAGAAAUAUCAAUAACCUCAGAUAUGCAGAUGACACCAUCCUUAUGGGAGAAAGUGAAGAAGAGCUAAAAAGCCUCUUGAUGAAAGUGAAAGAGGAGAGUGAAAAAGUUGGCUUAAAGCUCAACAUUCAGAAAAUGAAGAUCAUGGCAUCUGGUCCCAUCACUUCAUGGGAAAUAGAUGGGGAAACAGUGGAAACAGUGUCAGACUUUAUUUUUGGGGGCUCCAAAAUCACAGCAGAUGGUGACUGCAGCAAUGAAAUUAAAAGACACUUACUCCUUGGAAGAAAAGUUAUGACCAACCUAGAUAGUAUAUUCAAAAACAGAGACAUUACUUUGCCGACUAAGGUCCGUCUAGUUAACACUAUGGUUUUUCCAAUAGUCAUGUAUGGAUGUGAGAGUUGGACUGUGAAGAAGGCUGAGCACCGAAGAAUUGAUGCUUUUGAACAAAGGUGGUGUUGGAGAAGACUCUUGAGAGUCCCUUGGACUGCAAGGAGAUCCAACCAGUCCAUUCUGAAGAUCAGCCCUGGGAUUUCUUUGGAAGGAAUGAUGCUAAAGCUGAAACUCCUGUACUUUGGCCACCUCAUGCGAAAAGUUGACUCAUUGGAAAAGACUCUGAUGCUGGGAGGGAUUGGGGGCAGGAGGAGAAGGGGACGACAGAGGAUGAGAUGGCUGGAUGGCAUCACUGACUCGAUGGACAUGAAUCUGAGUGAACUCCGGGAGUUGUUGAUGGACAGGGAGGCCUGGCAUGCUGCGAUUCAUGGGGUCACAAAGAGUCAGACACGACUGAGUGACUGA
rnacentral:lncRNA from 1 species